rnacentral:rRNA from 1 species
UCGAGAAUCAUUCGCAAUGGGCGAAAGCCUGACGAUGCGACGCCGUGUGAGUGAAGAAGGCCUUCGGGUCGUAAAGCUCUUUCGCCUGGGAACAAUAGAUGCUGGUUAAUACCCAGCAAAAGUGAGGGUACCAGGUAAAGAAGCACCGGCUAACUACGUGCCAGCAGCUGCGGUAAUACGUAGGGUGCAAGCAUUAAUCGGAUUUAUUGGGCGUAAAGGGCGCGUAGGCGGACCUUCAAGUCAGGUGUGAAAUUCCGGGGCUCAACCUCGGAGCGGCACUUGAAACUAAAGGUCUAGAGGAUAGGCGGAGAAAACGGAAUUCCACAAGUAGCGGUGAAAUGCGUAGAUAUGUGGAAGAACACCGGUGGCGAAGGCGGUUUUCUAGCUUAUUCCUGACGCUGAGGCGCGAAAGCAAGGGGAUCAAACAG